UGUUCCCUGAAGUGUUGGCCAGCUCGUCCAAUCCCCUGAGCCGAUUUCAUUACAUUGGGACGUUCGAGUAACUGCUGUGUGCAUGUCCGCCCGCCGGAAAGCCUUAUGCAGCGACCGGGCUUCCCCCUUGAACCUUUGGGUUCAAGGGUUACGACGGGCAGCGGCACUUCGGAGAACAC
rnacentral:other from 1 species